GGUUCGUGUUGCUUAUUCUUCAGUUUUCUAUGUUGUGGCAUAUGUACUAUUGUUUUUCUGUUUGUCUUAUUCGUUUUUUCAGCCAUGGCGUUGUCAGUUUAUUUUCGAUUUAUGAGUGUGUCUGUCCCUCUCGUAUAUUUCGUUCCUCAUUUAAAGUAGUCGUUUAAGGAAGUUGAAGAAACCAGAAAAAAACUUCCUGGUUAACGAAUUUUAAAGCACUUUUUGGGAUGAUAUCUCUUAUUGUUUUCAUCAAAACAAAGAUAGUAAAAUCCUGAUUAAC
rnacentral:lncRNA from 1 species